ensembl:lncRNA
CUAGCCCGCGCCGCCGCCAACGGCCCCGCCCGCGCCGCCCCCGCGCGCUCGCGACCCCGGGAGGCCUGGCUCUCGCUCGCGGGGGUCUCGGCGAGUGGCUUGCGUGAGCUCGGCCCUGCCCUUCCCCGGACUGCCGCGCAGCAGGGAGGUCCCAGGUUGCGCCCCGAAACUGCCAAGCCCCGAGCGGGCCGCGCCCCGAUCUGGGGUGAGUCCCGUGGCCCCCGCCCCUCUGUGAAUUCUGCGCCCCGCACGCCCCCAGGAGCUUCCCAUACAGGCUCGGUGUGGAGCUGGGCCGCCGCAGCGGGUGCCUGGCUGGGGACGGGCUGGCAGGGUCCCCGGGGGUCCGGGAAGCGGCCAUCACAUCCCAAUCACGUGGGAGGGGGGUCACCAGUUCUGCCACUCCAGCCACGUCCGCGUAGGCCCCUUCACUGCAGAAGGGGUGGUCACGGGGUUGGGUACCCCUGGACAUCAAUGGAGGUGGUGGUGUAAGUGAGUAUUGUGAUAUGCUGGUUUCCUUGGGGACACUGUAGGGAAACCGAGGCAAGGAAAGUCUCCCCACUUUCAGCAUGGUCUAGCCCCGCCCCCCGUAUGGGUCAGUUGGCGAGACUGCUCUCCAUUGAUUAUGAAGUCCAGGUCACACUGGCUUGGGGCACAGAACGCCUAGGCCUUUGUCCCCUCCAACAGGCGUGGGGGGCGGGCAUCCAUCGCUGCCCUUCACCCCGUAAGACGGCUCUGGGAAACCUGUCACCCUUAGCAGGGUCGUGGCCCUACCUUCCAGUGCUCCGUUUCAAUGGAUGCCUGGAGGGAAAGCUGGCACUGUAGCAAACCGUGUGGAAUAUAUUUGUAAGCUUCUGGAAUUGUUCAAUGUGGUGUUAAGCGGAGGGGUAGCAGUGAGGUGAGGUGAAGGUCACAGGGCACAGAGCUUGAUUCUAGCAGGUGGGGGUGUGCCAGCCCCCACACUGGCGCGCUCGGUCCUACAAGGUCAGCUCCCCAUCUGAGACGUGAACACGAGACUCCAGGGGACCAAACAGCCUGCCCUGCUCACCUGCGGACACAAACCCGUGCCAACACUCAGUCACCUUGUACAACAUCAGGCCUAGAAAGAAGGGCGUUGGGCCUGCGAGCACCCUGAUUGUAUACAGAGGUGGCUGUCCAAUGUGAGCAGCAGCACCCAUGAGGGGGACGCGGGGCUGAACCUCCAGAAACCCCAUCAUCAGCUAACAGUGAAGCCUCCACUUUUAGGUGGAGGGUGGGUGGGUCCCAGGUUGUGAGAGACGUGGGGAAAGUGGAAGGUUUCGGUAAGCCCUCUCACCUAGUGACCAUCUCUCACACGCCCAUGGCUACCCAGGAAGUACUGCAGGGGGGCCUGGCCUCAAACCCCGGCUUUCUCUAAGGACGCCUUUGUCUGCGUGUGUGCAGAAGGCGCUGCGAGCCAGCACGGAACGGCCUUGUAUGGCCGGGUUCCCUCUGACGCCGGCGGGGGCGCCUUGUCCCGCGGCGGGACCAAGGUGCGGCUCAGGUGUGCGGGUGGGGGCAGGGGUGACGGGCGGCGCGCGGCCAUAUUUGGCGAUUUGGACCCGCGCUCCGCCCGCCGCCGGGAGGCCAGUGGCCGCCCUGAGUCACGGGGGCGGACGUAACGGACGGGGCGCCUGGCCGCGCUCCUCGCCUUAUUUAGUCAAGCAGGCUACCCAUUGGCCCGCGGGACAAAGGCGGUCCCGGCCGGUGCGCGCGGAGACCCUCGGCUGUGCGCUUGGGCUCAGAGGCGCAGCCCUCCCAGGAGACGGUGGGGGAGGGGUAGCCCCGCCGGAGCGGAGCCGCAGCCCGGCCUCCUAACGCUGUGCACGGGAAGGAGGCGCUGUGAUUUGUCUUAUUUUGCAACUGGGCAGUGUGAGGCCUCGCCCAAGGUCAGGUCGGGGCCGUUCUUGCCUGCUAUGGAAGUUGGCAGCCCCACCCCUCUUGGAGCAGGAAUUGAGAAUGCCGGGCUUCUGUGAGCCUGCAGGCCAGGGGCAGCGAUUGCAGGUCCGCCAGAAGUGGGCGUGUCUCCCGUUGUAUAGAAAGACUCAGUCGAGAGAAAUGAAAAAAAAUUUCUUUCCUCUGCUGGCUUUGGUCAGUUUUUAUUGUGACGUCGAUGCAUCUUAUUUCAUAUUCCAUUCAUUUGAUGAUAAGAAAACUGCAGCUGAAGAGGUGAAGCGUUAGGGAGAUUUAAUGCAGGCCGGCUCCACCCUUAACAUUCUCCCAGGCGUUCACAGGAACCUGUCAGUUCCUUCUCCCUGCGGCCACUUCGGAUAUUCCCCGGUCUCCUGGUCACCUCUGUACUUGGUACCCGAUUCUCCAGCAAUGCUCCACCCACCUAAGCACUUCCAAACCUACUUCCUCCAAAGUGGCUGACUGGCUUCUUGUUAGGCAAAUGCAACAAAAUUUUGCAUUUUGCCUCUACACUUGGUCUCUGCUAUUCCUGCUGGGUGGGGGGUUGUCAACCUAAUCUUGGAAAAGAAGAGACUGAAAAGGCUGUGAAGACUCAGGUCAGGUUUGGAAAAUAUACCAAGGUGAGCCUUGGUAAGGGUGAGCUAACAUUACAGUGUAAUGGGUGAACGCUUCUGAUGUCUUUGAAACUUUUCUAUAAGCCUAAAAGCCCAUAAUAAAAAGGGGAUGUAGAAGUCUGAGGAAACCAAAAUCUAAAUAUCCUGAGUCCAUGUUCCUGUCCAGGCCUCUUCGGACACAUCAUAUGCAAGUGGGGAUGUCUUGUCUGUCCAGUGCCAGGAGGCACAGGACUGGCCUUUCCAGUGGAAGGAAGGCAGUGAACUGAGGGUGAGACUGAGCCAGCCUCCGGUGGCAGAACCCAGGGCACAUUACAAACAGGAAGGUCAAGGUUCUGCUGGCCACACCACAUGAAACACAGAAUAUUGGGCAAUGGAGAGCCUCCCCGCCCUUGGGUCGGACAUCUGCCCAGCAUCUGCCCAUGCUGUCCCAGCAACUUAGUGCAUCUGUGUCAGACCAGAGGCUCUUCUAGUUAACUACAGGUGAUGAGGCUGCAGCAGGUAGCCAGUGCCAAGACGGAGAGAUGAGUCAGCAGUUGGGAGUUCCUCGAUGCUUUUCCGGAGGAUCUGAGUUUAACGGCCAUCACUCAUCCUGGGAGACGUACAACUAACUUCCUGUUACAACAGCUCUGGAUCUGAUGCCCAGCUCUGACUCAGGCACCUCUGCACAUACAGCACACACAUGCACGCACACACACCACAACCUUUUACAUGGAGAACAAGCCAGUGAGCAACACUCCACGACUUCUGCUUUGUUUUCUGCCCUUCAGGUUCCUUCCUUGAUCCCUGCCCUGACUUCUCUAAAUAAUGGCCUACAAGUUGUGAGAUGAAAUAAGUCCCUCCCUCCCCAAGUUGCUUUUGGUCAUUGUACCGGUUGGUUCUGUGUGUCAACUUGACACAAGCUGGAGUUAUCACAGAGCAAGGAGCCUCCCUUGAGGAAAUGCCUCCAUGAGACCCAGCUGUAAGGCAUUUUCUCAAUUAGUGAUCAAGGGGGGAGGACCCAGCCCAUUGUGGGUGGUGCCAUCCCUGGGCUAGUGGUCCUGGGUUCUUUAAGAGAGAAGGCUGAUCAAGCCAGGGGAAGGAAGCCAGUAAGUAACAUCCCUCCAUGGCCUCUGCAUCAGCUCCUGCUUCCUGACCUUCGUGAGUUCCUGUACUGACUUCCUUUGGUGAUGAACAGCAGUGUGGAAGUGUGAGCUGAAUAAACCCUUUCCUCCCCAACUUGCUUCUCAGUCCUGAUGUUUGUGCAGGAAUAGAAACCCUGACUACGACACUCAUGUUCUUUAUCACAGCAGUAAAAACCCAACUAAGACACAUGGAUUGCAGCAUAACAAGUGCCUAUCAUCCCAGCCCUUGGGAAGUGGAGAUACGGAGAGAUCCCUGGGGCUUGCUGACUAAACCAGCCUAUCUGAAUCACUGAGCUCCAGGUGAAAGGCCCUGUCUCAAAAGUAAUGUGGGAGCCGAGGAGCUGGCUCAUCAGGGAAGGCAUCUACUGUGAGCAAGUGAAAGUCUGUUGACCUGAGCUUGAUCCACAGAACCCACAUAGAGGUGGAAGGAGAGAACCGAGUCCACAAAGUUGUCCUCGGAUUUGCACAAAGGCAUAGGAAGUCAAUGAGUGAGUAAAUAACUUACAGGGAUGACGGAGUGCGAUCGAAAGGUACCCUUCACGAAAAGUUUACACACACUGAAAGUGGUGUGAGGAGGGUCAGGCGAGUUCUUGGAGGGUGUGCUGAGCUCUGCUGCUGUGUCUGGGCACGUCUGGGCCUAUGUGUGACUCGGAAUGGUAAGAUCAUCAGAGAUGAGCGCUAAGGCAGAGACUGCCUUGGCCCCCUCGUGUUGAAGGCUCACAGUUGUCCACUCAGGUAUGUGUGUAUCACCAUCUUGUCCUUAGUGAGUCCUACACAUUCUGGGAUUCAGUCUCAGAUGUCUGGUGUUUCCUCCUUCCCUGAGGUUUGAACUUUGAGGGAUCUGAGGGAUGGCCUAGUGGUCACAGACUUCCUGUGACACCUUCUGUUCCUCUUGGAGACACUUGACCUUAUGGAGCCUUGGAUUUUCUGACGUGACAGAACCCUGUGCUCUUCCUGGUCUCAGCUUGUGAGGCAUUAUGGUUUCACAAAUGAUGGGAGAUACCAUGGCUUGUGUUUGUGAAAGGCACUGGGGUGGUCACGGAGUGACACACGUGAGACGCUUCAGUCACUUUCCAUACCCUGAAGGCACUGGGGAUCAAUCCCAAGGGCCUCAUGACCAACAGGUAAAAAAAGGCUCUGUCACUGAAAGACAGCAACUCCAGAAACAGGUAUUUUAGCCAGGCCUGUCUUUACAUGCCUGUGAUUGCAACCGUGGGAGGCUGAGGCAGGAGGAUCUUGAGUUAGAGGCUAGCCUAUGCAACACAGAGAAAUCCUGUCUUCAAACAACAAAAAAG